CUUUCGAAGACGAACGAAAGUCUUAGAUGGUUUGGAGCAUCUUAUGGCUUCUGCAAGCGUGUAUGGCGUCUGGCUUUGGUACCUCACUGUGACUGACUUCAGAUAAGAACAAAGAUCAAAUUGUAAGAAGGGUUGCUUAUAAGAGAGCAUACAGUAGGCUACAUCUGAAACUGCUGAGGCUGGGAAGGUUUUUGACUAUAUUACCGAGCAGAAAAUAAACUGAAAUCUGAGUGCAGAGACGGGAAUAAGUGCUGUACAGUGACGACAGACAAGAGGAUAAGAAUGGACACUCAUAUGUCACGCUUGAUGAGGAUAUUGUCAAAAGAUCCUGUGAUAAAGCAGUCUUCAAAUACUACAGUGUCUGAAUUGCAAGCCCUUAGUUGCAGAACAUGCAAGUCGUACUCAAAGAAGUGACCUCGUCCCACCGGCUCCCCCUUGGUCAGUCGUCACUCUACUUCUGCCACAUACUUGCAAGCCGUCUGCUGCGC